rnacentral:rRNA from 1 species
GAUGAACGCUGGCGGCGUGCCUAAUACAUGCAAGUCGAGCGAAUGGAUUAAGAGCUUGCUCUUAUGAAGUUAGCGGCGGACGGGUGAGUAACACGUGGGUAACCUGCCCAUAAGACUGGGAUAACUCCGGGUAACCGGGGCUAAUACCGGAUAACAUUUUGAACCGCAUGGUUCGAAAUUGAAAGGCGGCUUCGGCUGUCACUUAUGGAUGGACCCGCGUCGCAUUAGCUAGUUGGUGAGGUAACGGCUCACCAAGGCAACGAUGCGUAGCCGACCUGAGAGGGUGAUCGGCCAAACUGGGACUGAGACACGGCCCAGACUCCUACGGGAGGCAGCAGUAGGGAAUCUUCCGAAAUGGACGAAAGUCUGACGGAGCAACGCCGCGUGAGUGAUGAAGGCUUUCGGGUCGUAAAACUCUGUUGUUAGGGAAGAACAAGUGCUAGUUGAAUAAGCUGACACCUUGACGGUACCUAACCAGAAAGCCACGGCUAACUACGUGCCAGCCGCCGCAGUAA